rnacentral:hammerhead_ribozyme from 1 species
AUCUAACUGACGAGUCCCAAAUAGGACGAAAUGCACAUCCUGGAU